GACAGAGGUCCCGAGCGUUAGGCGGAAUCACUGGGCUUAAAGCGUGUGUAGGCGGAUCGUUAAGUACCUUGUGAAAUCCCACGGCUUAACCGUGGAACUGCUUGGUAUACUGGCGAUCUUGAGCCACUUAGGGGCUACCGGAACAAAUGGUGGAGCGGUGAAAUGCGUAGAUAUCAGGAGGAACACCGGUGGUGUAGACGGCUCUCUGGACCGUAACUGACGCUGAGACACGAAAGCGUGGGUAGCAAACAGG
rnacentral:rRNA from 1 species